rnacentral:misc_RNA from 1 species
UUAACUAUUUGCUUUUCACUUCAGGCGGCAAAGUUUGUCAGUGUUGCGUCUCCGGCUGGGGGCCCUGUUGGGGACCCCCUAUCGCCGAACGGCGGGGGUGAGCAUCGGGUUGGAGUCGAGACGCCUAGGCGCUCGGUGACCCAGUAAUGAUCCUUCCGCAGGUUCACCUACGGAAA